UAUUACGAGUGAAAACUUAAAACUCAAAGGACUUGACGGUGUCCCACAUCCAACCUAGAGGAGCCUGUCCUAUAAUCGAUGAUCCACGAUAAACCUCACCACCCCUAGCCUUAACAGCCUGUAUACCGCCGUCACAAGCCCACCCCCUGAGGGUAACAAAAGUGGGCAAGAUAGUCCAACGCUAAUAUGUCAGGUCAAGGUGUAGCUGAUGGGGUGGGCAGAGAUGGGCUACAUUUCCUACAAAGGAAAUACGGACGACACAAUGAAAAACUGUCAGAAGGCGGAUUUAGUAGUAAAACACGAACCAGCAAGUCUGUUUGAACAAAUUGCCCCGGGACGCGU
rnacentral:rRNA from 1 species